AAAAAACAGUGUAGGAAACGAAGUUAGAUUCUCAUAAAUUUUUAUCCAAAAAUUCAAGUUUGAGGAGUAAAACAAAUCGAAGGUGUUAUCAAGUGCCACAAAAGCGCCAACUUCAUAAUUAAUGUUUAUAGAAAGAUUAGAUAGAAAUUAAAUUAAAUAAAAAAAAAAACCAGAAAGGAUAAAAUGUUUGAAAAGUUGCCGAACCCUAUUCGUAAAAUUGUGGGAAUUACUUUGAUUGUAGUAGCCGUUGACUAUUUACUAACCCGAUAAACAAAACUAAUUUCUUUUCAGAUUAAAUAAAAAAAAAAAAGGAAAAAAUUUGCGUUGUGCAACUGUCGAAUCGAUAAUGUGCAAAUUUCACAGCAAUUGAUGUCAAUCUUCACACAUAAAAAAAUUAUUGACGUUUAGAAAAAAAAGAACGAGAAAAUAUUUUUGAAAAUUUUUUAUCAAUUUAUAAUAAUUAAUUUAAAAUAAUAACAAGAAAAAAAAAGAGAAUAAAAUGCGUCCUUUGGAUAUUGCUAUUGUAACCCUUUUACUCUAUUGUGCUUACGAAAUUCUUCGUUAAAAAAUUAAAAUGAUGAUCGAGUCAAUUUUUGAGAAAAAAUUUUUUAUGGCACAAAAUUAUUUAUAAAAUGCAAAAUUGUUUCCCUUUUAUUUCUUUGGAACGUUGAUUACAUUGACAGAAAAAUUUCCAUUUGUUUCGUGUGUUAAUUAUUUUGGAAAAAUAUUAAAUUUUAAUUGUACACAAUGGAUAGUGAAAAUACAAAUUUAA